rnacentral:rRNA from 1 species
AUUGAACGCUGGCGGCAGGCCUAACACAUGCAAGUCGAGCGGAUGACGGGAGCUUGCUCCUUGAUUCAGCGGCGGACGGGUGAGUAAUGCCUAGGAAUCUGCCUGGUAGUGGGGGACAACGUUCCGAAAGGAACGCUAAUACCGCAUACGUCCUACGGGAGAAAGCAGGGGACCUUCGGCCCUUGCGCUCUCAGAUGAGCCUAGGUCGGAUUAGCUAGUAGGUGAGGUAAUGGCUCACCUAGGCGACGAUCCGUAACUGGUCUGAGAGGAUGAUCAGUCACACUGGAACUGAGACACGGUCCAGACUCCUACGGGAGGCAGCAGUGGGGAAUAUUGGACAAUGGGCGAAAGCCUGAUCCAGCCAUGCCGCGUGUGUGAAGAAGGUCUUCGGAUUGUAAAGCACUUUAAGUUGGGAGGAAGGGUUGUACGUUAAUACCGUGCAAUUUUGACGUUACCGACAGAAUAAGCACCGGCUAACUCUGUGCCAGCCGCCGCAGUAA